rnacentral:rRNA from 1 species
AGUGAACGCUGGCGGUAGGCCUAACACAUGCAAGUCGAACGGCAGCACAGUAAGAGCUUGCUCUUACGGGUGGCGAGUGGCGGACGGGUGAGGAAUACAUCGGAAUCUACUUUUUCGUGGGGGAUAACGUAGGGAAACUUACGCUAAUACCGCAUACGACCUACGGGUGAAAGCAGGGGAUCUUCGGACCUUGCGCGAUUGAAUGAGCCGAUGUCGGAUUAGCUAGUUGGCGGGGUAAAGGCCCACCAAGGCGACGAUCCGUAGCUGGUCUGAGAGGAUGAUCGGCCACACUGGAACUGAGCCACGGUCCAGACUCCUACGGGAGGCAGCAGUGGGGAAUAUUGGACAAUGGGCGCAAGCCUGAUCCAGCCCUACCGCGUGGGUGAAGAAGGCCUUCGGGUUGUAAAGCCCUUUUGUUGGGAAAGAAAAGCAGCAGGUUAAUACCCCGCUGUUCUGACGGUACCCAAAGAAUAAGCACCGGCUAACUUCGUG